UAGUAGGCGGAUUUCACCUGAACUUCACUUGAAGCUUGGGGAUAGAGGGAGGAUCUUUUCCCUAGUAGCUUAUCGGAGAGGCUAGCGAUCCAUACCGGGCUGUGGUUCGCGGGACUUGGUGAACCCAACUCUGUAGCUCGGAGCCAGGAGAAGAUCAAGUUUAGGACUUGGGGGUGUCAGAGAGUUGUUUUGUCUGCGUUAUCAGUAUCUUGUUAUUACCUGCUUGUGAGUGUAAGACUUGUAUUGUGAUUGUAUUUGUAAUUUGCGAACUGUUGGAUUGUAUUU